rnacentral:rRNA from 1 species
UACGGAGGGAGCAAGCGUUACUCGGAAUUACUGGGCGUAAAGGGCGCGUAGGCGAUUUUGUAAGUCUUGUGUGAAAGCCCAAAGCCUAACUUUGGAAGUGCACGAGAUACUGUGAAAUUUGAGUUCCGGAGAGGAAGAUGGAAUUCCCGGUGUAGCGGUGAAAUGCGUAGAUAUCUGGAGGAACACCGGUGGCGAAGGCGGCAUCCUGGACCAACACUGACGCUGAGGAGCGAAAGCCAGGGGAGCAAACGGG